GGACCCGCACAAGUAGUGGAGCAUGUGGUUUAAUUCGAAGAUACGCGCAGAACCUUACCAACACUUGACAUGUUCGUCGCGACUUUAAGAGAUUAAAGUUUUCGGUUCGGCCGGACGAAACACAGGUGCUGCAUGGCUGUCGUCAGCUCGUGUCGUGAGAUGUUGGUUAAGUCCCGCAACGAGCGCAACCCUCACUUUUAGUUGCCAUCAUUUAGUUGGGCACUCUGAAAGAACUGCCAGUGAUAAGCUGGAGGAAGGUGGGGAUGACGUCAAGUCCUCAUGGCCCUUACGUGUUGGGCUACACCACGUGCUACAAUGGUAUUUACAAACAGGAAGCAAAAAGCAGCGAUGUUAAGCAAA
rnacentral:rRNA from 1 species